rnacentral:tRNA from 1 species
GGUCUUAUAGUCAAUAAUGAUAUUAAAUUGCAAAUUUAAAGGUAAAAAUAUUUUAAGGCUU